AUGACCUUUCCAAGCUCUUGUGGGCUGGUGCUGUUGGAGUGGAGCUUCUACAGCUUGGGAAGCUCGGAAAAAGAAAGGGAAAAACCAAACAAAAAGACCAAAGCGGCAUUCACCCUCCUCGAGUGCGUGCGUCUGUCUGUGGGCAUCACAGCCCUCUUGGAGCAAGGUGGGCAGCAGCAGCUCCAGAGCAAACACCCUCCAGGGGUGGCAGCGUGGAGUCGUGUGAUUGUGCUCUGCGCUUCUAAGGAGCAAUACUGCGCUUUGCAAUCAAUGGAGCUUAAAAAUACAAUGGCCAGGGCACCUCGUGGGCACAAGUCCUUGCCCCCCGCAGGAAACACCACCGCAGCGGAGGCGAUGUGAAGCCCACUCCAGUGAUGCUGGGUGACG
rnacentral:lncRNA from 1 species